GACGAACGCUGGCGGCGUGCUUAACACAUGCAAGUCGAACGGUGAAGCGCCUUCCUUUUUGGUGGGUGUGGAUGAGUGGCGAACGGGUGAGUAACACGUGAGUAACCUGCCCCCUUCUUCUGGAUAACCGCAUGAAAGUGUGGCUAAUACGGGAUAUUCUGGGUCUGUCGCAUGAUGGGUCUGGGAAAGAUAUUGUUUCGGUGGGGGAUGGGCUCGCGGCCUAUCAGCUUGUUGGUGGGGUGAUGGCCUACCAAGGCGGUGACGGGUAGCCGGCCUGAGAGGGUGGACGGUCACACUGGGAGUGAGACACGGCCCAGACUCCUACGGGAGGCAGCAGUGGGGAAUAUUGCACAAUGGGCGCAAGCAUGAUGCAGCGACGCCGCGUGCGGGAUGGAGGCCUUCGGGUUGUGAACCUCUUUCGCCAGUGAAGCAGGCCUGCCUCGUUUGUGGGUGGGUUGACGGUAGCUGGAUAAGAAGCGCCGGCUAACUACGUG
rnacentral:rRNA from 1 species